rnacentral:tmRNA from 1 species
GGGGGCGUAACGGAUUCGACGGGAUUGUAUCUAGCGUGGGAAGUCGUGCCGGGUUCCGAGCUCCCGUAAAACGAUCGGAAACCUAAAACUGCCAAUCAGCAGUUUGCUUACGCUGCCUAAUCUUUAGGUAGCCGCUCUGGGUCGAUGGGCCUGCACGCGGCCUAAGGGCGUCAUCUUGUAGGAGUAGGUCCAAGGCUUCCGCCUGGAGCCGAAAGCCGGAAUUAAUCGGGCUAAGCCGCUUUCUCUUGCCGGUUCCUGAUGAAGCGGUCGAAAACCACCGAACCGGAAACGCACGUAGCCUUUUCGCGGUAGACUUUCUCGGACGCGGGUUCGACUCCCGCCGCCUCCACCA